CCAGGGUUCAAGUCCCUGUUCGGGCG
rnacentral:piRNA from 9 species